GAAGCCUCCCAUUUUAAGCUCUUCCUAUUUCUCUUCCUCGGCCGUUCCCGUUUCCCCUCUUGCUUCAAUCGCCGAAGCGAGGCGGAAGAAGGCGAGCAGUAGGAAGGAGUCCGAGGAGCAUCCGUGGUGGCGCUGUCAUGGGUGGCUGCAUUCCCUGGAACAAACCGCUCACGGCCGACGAUUUGGCUCAGCGGAUCCCCCGGCCACCGCUGGGUAGUGUGAGAAAUCCCUGCCGCAAAAUGCCCUCUUUUUUCCCGCAAUUUGAUUCGAUUAGGGUUUCUCCUUCCACGACGGCGACAAGGGUGGCGGAAUCUGGAAAUUCAAAGUCAGAGUCAAAAUUCUCAAUCAACUUGACGAAGAAAGGUUCAGUUAAGGAAAAGAAAAUCUCAAGAUGUGGUUCUAAAGGUUCAGUUAAGGAAAAGAAAUCUCAAGAUGUGGUUCUUCGCAAGCUACUCCCAAGACAUCUCCAUUUAAAGAGCUGGCUGCGGCAACUGACAAUUUCAGGGAUGAUUGUCUCUUGGGUGAAGGUGGAUUUGGUCGAGUUUAUAAAGGCAGGUUGGAAAGCAUCCAACAGAAUUCAUAGGGAAGGAAAUAGAUUCAUGGACAUACCGGGCUGACCUAAGUGUGAUCUUGAUUGAUCCUCCACUUAAGACAGUAGCAAUAAAGCAGCUUGAUCUCAAUGGUGUACAAGGAAACAGGGAGUUCCUUGUUGAAGUUAUGAUCUUUGGUCUACUUCACCAUCCUAACCUUGUUAAUCUGAUUGGGUAUUGUGUUGAUGGAGAUCUAAGGCUUUUGGUUUAUGAAUAUAUGCCGCUUGGAUCCUUGGAAGGUCAACUCCAUGGAGACCUUUCUUCAGAUAAGAGGCAGCUCGACUGGCAUCACAGAAUGAAAAUAGCUGCUGGGCAGCGAAAGGAUUAGGGUACCUGCAUGACAAUGUAAAUCCUCCUGUGAUUUAUCAUGAUCUAAAAUGUUUGAACAUUCUGCUCGACGAGAACUAUGACCCUAAGUUGUCAGAUUUUGGACUGGCAGAGCUUGGUCCUAUUGGUGAUAAUACUCAUGUCUCCACCCGAGUGAUGGGCACAUAUGGGUACUGUGCACCUUUUAAUAUUCAAGGGCCGGGCAACUAACAAUAAAGUCUGAUAUUUAUAGCUUUGGAGUUGUUCUUUUAGAACUUAUAACCGGAAGAAGAGCAAUUUAUUGUUCUAGACGUCCAGGCGAGCAGAAUCUUGUUUCCUGGCACUUCAGAAUGUUUUUUCUUUGUUCCAUGCUUGAUCAAAGCCAUUGUUCAAGGACCGAAAUAAGAGGGGUUCCCCUCGAUGAUUGACCCAAUGCUUCAGGGCUAGUACCCCAUCCACGGCUUAUACCAGGCACUUGUCAUUGCUGCAAUGCGUGUGCAGUAUUAACCGAGUUUGAGACCUCAGAUAGCAGACGGCAAUUCUACCGGACAGAAACCAAGCAGUCAAUCCAAAAGUGAUUUAUAGAGAGGGCAGAAUAGAACUGAUCAGUUCAUUCGAACUUCUACACCAAAUACUCUUUUGUGAUUCCUGUUCUGUAUGUUAACUCAGUCUCACCUUCAAUCUCUCCUUUGGUUCUUUUAGUUUUAGGGUCAGCAAAUUUUCACUAUAAAUUUUUAGAUAAGGUGAUUGUUGGUUCUUGUAUCGAAACUUCAGUUAUUUUACUUCAUCUAUCUUAUCCAAACCAAGGGAUAUAAAUUGCUACUUA